GUGCCAGCAGCCGCGGUAAUACGUAGGUGGCAAGCGUUAUCCGGAAUUAUUGGGCGUAAAGCGCGCGUAGGCGGUUUUUUAAGUCUGAUGUGAAAGCCCACGGCUCAACCGUGGAGGGUCAUUGGAAACUGGAAAACUUGAGUGCAGAAGAGGAAAGUGGAAUUCCAUGUGUAGCGGUGAAAUGCGCAGAGAUAUGGAGGAACACCAGUGGCGAAGGCGACUUUCUGGUCUGUAACUGACGCUGGUGUGCUAAAGCGUGGGGAUCA
rnacentral:rRNA from 1 species